rnacentral:lncRNA from 10 species
AUUACCAUCACACAGAAAAUUUCCACCUUCUCUUUCCCAGGCUGUCCUCACUCUCAACAUCCCCUCCAGCCAACUGCUGUUCUGAUUUUCCCUCCAGAAACUGACUUCACCAAUUCUAGAACUUCAUACAAAUGGAUCACACGGUAAUUUCAAGGUCCAGAGCUGAAGACAUGAGCCUUUGGGAGUAACCCUACUCUUCCUCUGAUAUUGUUCCCUGCAUUUCCUGGAUCUCCAGCCUUCUCUGAUAUUAGCCAUGAAUAUCAUAUGUAUUGGGGAAUCAGAAGUAUCAGCCGGUUUGGAGUAUUGGGAGGACACUGGAAGAGCGGAAUUUAAGGUCAGGUUCAUCUGUUUGAAUUGGAACUUGAGCUCGUCUCAAGAAGUCUGCUUACCACUAUAGGGAAAAGCAAACAAUGAUUGUAUUCUCUGAGAAGCCUCUGGCAGAACACGAAUUUGGAAAAAACAAGCACAUUAGUUUCAGUUUCUGUUGGUCAAGAUGAAAACAGCGGACAAUGAUGAAAUUUAUUAUUGGUGUUCCACCCAUCUCCUACCCACACUUCAAGGUCCACUUCAGGCCCCAGCCCCCAACAAAGCUGUUCAGGACCAGUAAG